GCCGCUCCUGGGCGGCCGCGGGGGCCCAGGGAGGUGCCGGGGCGGCCGCGAGCUGCGUCUGCAGAGCCCGGCAGCAAGCGGGCGGGGGGUGCCGGGCCCGGGGCCCCCUGCGAGCUUCUAACGGAGAGCUGCACAUCCUCCCAGUGCCCGGGUCCCGCGGGUCCAGCUGUUGCUCAAUGGCUGGCUGUGGGGGGGCUCAACAGUCGCCUGUUGCAUCAAGAAGGACGUUUUCUCAAGUUUUUGCCUGGCCCCGGAAGGAAGGUUUUGUUAUGAUCAUAAAAAUGGAUUUCAUGUUGCAGUCAUUUUGUCAGGCGACUUCCGCCGUUGGCCAAUUUGUUGUCCUCAGGCUGGAUUCGGGCAGGAGAAAGUCUCGCUGGUGUUUACAUAGUUUCUAAAACAAAAGUUCAUUUCCAGACCUGGUAAUUACUUUUAAUCAGGUUCUUUGGGGGUGUUCCCCUAGGCAGUUUGCUUGUCAAGGGUGUCCACUCACUUAAGGGGCAGUACUGUUUUGUAAUAUGAAUGUGUUUCACGUGUGAAAUGUCAGUGAGCCGUAAGACUCCUUUUACAAUUCUUGAGGUAAAUUUAAAGUGCCUUCUUAACUUCCUGCCAGAAGUGUCUUAUCUGUUUACAAGAGAUUUCCCCUAUAAAAUUUGGUGUUUCUUCACUGGGUGCAGUUUAGAACUUGGAAUCAUUUUAAGGGGGCAAAAAAGGGGCAGCUCAUAAAAAUCACUCUUUCAAGUUUGUGUGUAUAUCGCCUGAGUGCAUCUCUCCUGUAGGUGAUGUCGGUCUUCGUUUGUGCAUUUAGAUAGUAAUCACACUGUCAUUUUUAAAAUAAACCUUUUUGUAAAGUCAAGACAGAGACUGCAGGAUUAGACAGGACACCUGCUGAACAUGGGCUUCCAUUGCCAUUGAUGCAGGUUUAGCCCCAUCUAUCUGCAUUUUGUGCAAAAUAACCAAGAAUAAACUUCAAAAUAAUAAAGAAAAAUAAACAUUAACUUAAAAGACUGCACUUGGAAAAUAAAUGUUCAUACAAUACAUUUCUGUAAGUGAAAGGAAGAGGUAUAUUUUAAAAGUAAAAACAUUUUCCACCUGCAUUCAGUUUUAGAUUUUUCCAUUGUUUUCAUAAUUCUUACAAGGAGAUACUGCCUCCCUUGGGCCAAACACCAAGUCAUGUCUUUUUAGAGAACUUAGUGGAGGUAACCAGUGGCAGUUAUCAUUUCAUUGGCAUGCUGGGUGUUGAAGUAUUAAAUUGACUUUACUUCCAUGGGCAGCCUGAUUCUAAACGGAGGGGGAAAGAAACGGGUAUGUGCUGAGUAGUGAUAAUGAACUCUGGCCUGAGUUGAAAGUAAAGGGGGAUAUGCUUAGAUAGUAAUUGACUUGUCCAUGAACAGUUGCACUCAGCAGAAGUGUGAGUGCAGUUAUCAGGUAGGCAUGUAUUGUUGGCAGUGUGACGCACGUAUCUACCUACAGGUACUUUCUGGUAGCAAAUAGUCUUUGAAUGUAUGUUGCAUAACUUAUUCAGUAGGUAGCUUUUACCCUAAUGAUCCUGCAUGCACAGAUUUACUUCUUCAGGUUAGGCUAGAAUCAAAGCCAGAACAAGCCUACUAGUCCAUUGCUUUGAGACUGUUAUUUUGCAUUUAUUUUCUGUGCUUGUUUACCUGGAGCUCUGGUGUCUUGUAGAUUUGUAUUGUCUUAUACCACAGUUCUCGUAUAUCCCAUGCUUAUGGAAUCAAUACAUCUAAGAAAAUGUGGUCUUAGGAGGUGAAUUGAAUUCAAAAAGCAAUUUUUAUUUAAUUCAUUAAUUUACUGUUAUUAUAGAAUUGAGAUAUAUUCCUAAGGAAGACAUUUUUCAUAUUUUGGGAAAAUUUUUGGUGUUAGUAAUUUGAAUUACGUUCAGUUUUGUGGCAUUUGGGUAUUUGUGGUAUUGCAACAUGUAGGUUUGUAGUGCCUGCUAAGAGUUACAGUUCAUAAAGAGUUCAAGGUUCACUCUUUCUUUGUAGGAUGUGUUACAUUCUGGUAUGUGCCUGCCACCCAUACCUUUGUACAAUGAGAAAUCCUGCCAUUUCUUGGGACGCUCUGCCUUUACAUUGAAAGCCUCUAGACUUUGGCUUCCUUCAGCUGACAAAUAGUUAUAAAGACGACCAGGAUUAGUAAUUGACUUGUAGCAGUAGUUUAGGCCACUAGGAUUUUUCUCCUCCAGUUGGUUUUUCCUCCAUUGAACAUGUGGUAUACUUCAUUUUUUUUCUUUUUUUACUGCACUUUAUUUUUAUCCCUGCAUUUUUAAAAAUUGAAGUAUAAUUGCAAUUAACAUUAAUUGAACACAUUUUAGGUAUUUGGCACCAUGCUGGAACUAAAAUUACACAGAUGAAUAAAAGCAGGGGCCCCACUCUAAAAGUGUUUACCAUCUACACUGAGAAUUCUAAACUUUCUCGUUUUGGUUUAUAUAAAUAAGAUAGCAUUUAGGAACUCAAAGUUAUGUAAAGAAUAUCUGUGUGUGUGUGUGUGUGUGUGUGUGUGUGUGUAGCAAUGUAGUUCAAUUGGCUCUAUCAGAUUCUACUUGGGCAUCUU